CCUACGGGAGGCAGCAGUGGGGAAUUUUGGACAAUGGGCGCAAGCCUGAUCCAGCCAUGCCGCGUGCGGGAAGAAGGCCUUCGGGUUGUAAACCGCUUUUGUCAGGGAAGAAAUCCUUUGAGCUAAUACCUCGGGGGGAUGACGGUACCUGAAGAAUAAGCACCGGCUAACUACGUGCCAGCAGCCGCGGUAAUACGUAGGGUGCGAGCGUUAAUCGGAAUUACUGGGCGUAAAGCGUGCGCAGGCGGUCUUGCAAGACAGGUGUGAAAUCCCCGGGCUCAACCUGGGAACUGCACUUGUGACUGCAAGGCUGGAGUACGGCAGAGGGGGAUGGAAUUCCGCGUGUAGCAGUGAAGUGCGUAGAUAUGCGGAGGAACACCGAUGGCGGAGGCAAUCCCCUGGGCCUGUACUGACGCUCAUGCACGAAAGCGUGGGGAGCAAACAGGAUUAGAUACCCUGGUAGUCCACGCCCUAAACGAUGUCAACUGGUUGUUGGACGGCUUGCUGUUCAGUAACGAAGCUAACGCGUGAAAGUUGACCGCCUGGGGAGUAACGGCCGCAAGGUUGAAACUUCAAAGGAAUUGACGGCGNGAGAGNGCGAGGACGACGACGAGGGAGGAGG
rnacentral:rRNA from 1 species